rnacentral:rRNA from 1 species
GUGGGGAAUUUUGGACAAUGGGCGCAAGCCUGAUCCAGCCAUGCCGCGUGCAGGAUGAAGGCCUUCGGGUUGUAAACUGCUUUUGUACGGAACGAAAAGACUCUGGUUAAUACCUGGGGUCCAUGACGGUACCGUAAGAAUAAGCACCGGCUAACUACGUGCCAGCAGCCGCGGUAAUACGUAGGGUGCGAGCGUUAAUCGGAAUUACUGGGCGUAAAGCGUGCGCAGGCGGUUAUGUAAGACAGAUGUGAAAUCCCCGGGCUCAACCUGGGAACUGCAUUUGUGACUGCAUAGCUAGAGUACGGCAGAGGGGGAGGGAAUUCCGCGUGUAGCAGUGAAAUGCGUAGAUAUGCGGAGGAACACCGAUGGCGAAGGCAAUCCCCUGGGCCUGUACUGACGCUCAUGCACGAAAGCGUGGGGAGCAAACAGGAUUAGAAACCCCGGUAGUCC